GCGUGCGGUGCUGACACCAAAAUGGAGGUCCCGUGUUUCUGAGAGUCUCUUUCAGAGCAAUGCAAACCUGAAACUACUCCUGCCAAGAAACGAUUGCAGCUCUUCCCGGAAAAGUUAAAGCCUUUGAGAAACAAAGCUGAGAUUUGGGAUUAAGCCUUAUUUUGCAUUGGGUUUAAUCUCAACAGACACCGAGGGGCACCUGGAGUCCCUGCAAAACCUUGUCUGGUAUCAGCUACCUAUCAGAGGAUGCAGAGGACAAGGUCAGGUAGAGGCUGUUUCCAGUGAGAGGAAGGCAGGGGGAGGGCAUGGAAGGAGCACUGGAAAUGGGGUGGGAAAACCAAAGCUCCCUCCAUGCAGGGCUACUUAGGUGAGUCCCUUCCCUGUCUGGGCUCCCUUCCUUCCUUCCUUCCUUCCUUCCUUCCUUCCUUCCUUCCUUCCUUCCUUCUUUCCUUCCUUUCCUUCCUUCCUUCUUUCCUUUCUUCCUUGCUUCCUGCUCUCUCUGUUGCCCAGGCUGGAGUGCAGUAGCAUGUCCUCGCCUCACUGCAGCCUCGACCUCCUGGACUCAAGCCAUCCUCCCACCUCAGCCUCCUGAGUAGCUGGAGCUAUAGGCGUGUGCCACUACACACGGCUAACUUUUGUAUUUUUUGUAGAGAUGGGGUUUCACCAUCUUGUCCAAGCUGGUCUUGAACUCCUGGGCUCAAG
rnacentral:lncRNA from 10 species